NGUCAAGUUAAGAAGGGCUUAUGGUGGAUAC
rnacentral:rRNA from 1 species